CCUACGGGAGGCAGCAGUGGGGAAUAUUGGACAAUGGGCGAAAGCCUGAUCCAGCCAUGCCGCGUGUGUGAAGAAGGCCUUCGGGUUAUAAAGCACUUUCAGUGGGGAAGAAAGCCUUGGGGCUAAUACCCUCGAGGAAGGACAUCACCCACAGAAGAAGCACCGGCUAACUCCGUGCCAGCAGCCGCGGUAAUACGGAGGGUGCGAGCGUUAAUCGGAAUUACUGGGCGUAAAGCGCGCGUAGGCGGUCUGAUAAGCCGGUUGUGAAAGCCCCGGGCUCAACCUGGGAACGGCAUCCGGAACUGUCAGGCUAGAGUGCAGGAGAGGAAGGUAGAAUUCCCGGUGUAGCGGUGAAAUGCGUAGAGAUCGGGAGGAAUACCAGUGGCGAAGGCGGCCUUCUGGACUGACACUGACGCUGAGGUGCGAAAGCGUGGGUAGCAAACAGGAUUAGAUACCCGAGUAGUC
rnacentral:rRNA from 1 species